AGUUUUAAUUUCUCCUCUGGCUGAACAUGAAUAUGUUGAUACACUUAUUGACCACAAGAGGGAGCUCAUAUUUCUUAUCUGCCUAAUACACAUUAUUUAUUAACAUGACAAUAUUUACAUUUCAUCAAGUAUAAAAAUGUCAACAUGAAUGUCGUUUUGGAAUAUAGUCAAUAAUAGUUGAAAUCUCUUGCGGUAGAAACUGCAGAUUUUCAUCCACUCCACUAGGCGGCAGAAGCAAUGUUCAGCUCGACUCAACACGAAUCAGGUGGGAAGACGUAGAACUUCAGAUGACAGCAGCACGCUCGUCAUGACAACAAUAAGGGAUGUGUUUGGACCGUACAGUCAACAGAAGCAGAGCUCCAGGACGUUUGGACUACAUUUAGUGGCGUGAUGGACGUCUGCUGCGGACAGGAAAAGAACACAGAAGUGAAGACGGUGUGAUCAAGACUGAACACAGACAAAGGCAGUAUCCCCGAGUUAGAGGAGAUCAUGAUCACACACUUGAAGCUGAGGAUCACCAUCAAAUGCAGAUCUAAACAUCACACUCUGACAGAUAUUACAGUUAAUAAUUCAGAAUUAUACACAUUUACAGCCUAAAUAUUGCCUGUGCAAGCUCUAGAAACACAGCAGAACAUCAGAGCUUCACAAACUGACUUGUUAACACAUAUUAUGUCUUGUUCUGCUUUAUAAUGAGAGGCUGUUUAACUCUGAGCCUUUACAUAUUAAACAGCAACUACCAAUUUAUUUGCUCCUAAAUGUCUGACAGUGACAGAGAGCAGCAUGUAAACAAAGCUGUUUAACAAACAGGAGAGCUCUGCUUAAACAUAUCAGUAAAGACACUUCAAUAAGUGCUAAACAUGAACUUAACUGCGACUGAAGUACAAAGAAUAAAGACUUAAUGAGGAAAUGCAGGAGAAAUACUGUACAGUUACUUACAGAUGAGUCGCUUUUCACUGCAUUCCUGUCCUUUAUCUCAGCGUGUGUCGGUUAUUUUAGUUGUCGGACUGCAUUAAAUGUUGUUUAGUGACAUUAAAACACUGUCGCUGAGCUGUCAUCUUCAGUUUAUGUGUUUAAAACUGCACACUCGUGCUGCUGCUGCACCAAAACAAACGUCACACUGUCAACAUCCUGAAGCUCUGGGUCAGACUGAACGGGAAGUCGCGCGCGCCGCCUGGUGGAGCGGAUGGAGAACUGCACUAGAGUCCCUAACAGGACGAGUUACAGCGUUAAAGCCUCGUUUAUUUAAAGUCUGAUAAGUCAUUUACACUCCACAUAUGUAUAAUUUAAAAUGUAGACAUCCAGACAUUAUAAUGCAUCUAUUAGGUAGGUUAUUAAAUAGCUCAAUGUCAAGUGCCUAAAAAGUCAAGAUGUGGUCGUCAGCGCCCUCGUGUGGGCAUGAAUGAGUGUUGUUCAGAUCAUGAGCUCGUGGUGUUCAGUCGCAGAUGAUUUCUGUUGGAAUGGAUCUACACUGAUGUCUGUUUUAGACUCCAGUCCUGGGGACCAACAAAGCUCCACAUUUUACUAGGGUUGGGUAUCGUUUGGGUUUUUUUCGAUACCGGUGCUAAAUCGAUACUUUUAAAACGAUA